AUGUUAGACUUUUUUUUUAAUGAUAUUAUACAAUAAUUUAAAUUUUAAAGAAUACAAAUUAGUAAUUGUGGAUUUAUUAGAUGAUAAAAUAAUAAAAUAAAAUUGAUGAAAAAUAUAGGAUUAAGUGACAAUAAUGAUUUGGAUUUUUUUUUAGUCUGAAAAUUUGUAUUUUAUUAUAUCAUUCUUUUAAUACAAAAUUCAGAAUUUUUUUUAUAUAAAAUUAUUAUUAAACUCACUUAAAAUUUUUGAAAUUCUCAAGUUCUCAUACUCAUCAAAAUUUAAAGUAAGAAUAAACUUUUUUUUUAAAUUACUAUCAAGUCCUUAAAAAUUUUUAAAAUUUCAGGAGGGCUCAAUGCCCCUCCCCUUAGCUCCAGCUGGCUCCGCCCAUGUAUAUAAGCAACUUUCCGAUAUUGAAAUUGCUCUAGGUAGUGUUUGGACUUCAAUUUUGUCUGGUAGUAUAUGCAACCAGUUUAUAGUGCAAUGCCUCCCCCUUCUCUAUGUGCUUGGGGUUGCUUUUAUGAACACAAUAAUGGCGAGAUAUAAAAUAGUUGGCUUCUAAAUACUUUUCUGACCAUAUAUUUGGUGAAAUUAAAAAUGAACUCUUGGUAAUAGUGUGUGAUCUGUUCAAAUCAGGCCUCUUUCUUUUUUCUUUUUCUUUUUUUUUUUCAAUGCUAACAGUGGGUACAGGGCAUUUAAACUAAUAGGAGAUGCUUAUAUAAAUGCUUUGGUUCUUCCUUUAUGUCGAUAGCUUGUUUGAGUUUGGUUGUCUUGGAGCGUGAUGCAGGUCAGUAUUUGGUCAAGCCAAAUCAGAUAAUUCCUCAGCAUCAGAUCGUUAGAGAAGGGCUCCAGAAACUUAAUCUUACACUUCUAUAAGCAUUAUUUUCGAUGAUGCAUCUGGAACUGAAAUCUCUGUCAUGAAGACAAUCUUAAGUGCCACGUCACAGAUUUUGUUAAAAAAGUAAUAGUUGUAUUGCUGAAAGGCAUAAAGCACUGGUUUGCUUCUCAUUAAGCUGAAGAAAAUAAGAUUUUGCGUUGACCUAUAGUAAAAAGUAACAUGUUUAAGUUUUGGUAAUAUUUGGAGUGAAUUACUGCUCUCCUUCAAUAUUUUCUUUUGCAUUUCAUUUCAAGUGAAACAAGAGAGGCAAAUAUAGAAGCGACAGAAGUUCAUUUUUUUUUUUGCCCUCGUAUUCUGGUCAUGUUGCAGAGCAACAGGUUUCUUAAAAUGAUGACAGUUUAUGUAUUUUUAUUUUGUUCACCAGAACAUUGAGGGUGUCAAUAUCAUAUAGCAUUUGUGCUUCUA